GGAAGUAAAAGUCUAACAAGGUUUCCGUAGGUGAACCUGCGGAAGGAUCAUUACAGUGUUCUCUGCCCUCACGGGUAGAAACGCCCACCCUUGUAUAUUAUAUCUUUGUUGCUUUGGCAGGCCGCCCUCGGGCACCGGCUCCGGCUGGAUCGCGCCUGCCAGAGGAAACCCAAACUCUGAAUGUUAGUGUCGUCUGAGUACUAUCUAAUAGUUAAAACUUUCAACAACGGAUCUCUUGGUUCUG
rnacentral:misc_RNA from 1 species